UGGGGAAUAUUGCACAAUGGGCGCAAGCCUGAUGCAGCCAUGCCGCGUGUGUGAAGAAGGCCUUCGGGUUGUAAAGUACUUUCAGUCGGGAGGAAGGUGGUAAGGUUAAUAACCUUAUCAAUUGACGUUACCGACAGAAGAAGCACCGGCUAACUCCGUGCCAGCAGCCGCGGUAAUACGGAGGGUGCAAGCGUUAAUCGGAAUUACUGGGCGUAAAGCGCACGCAGGCGGUUGAUUGAGUCAGAUGUGAAAUCCCCGGGCUUAACCCGGGAAUUGCAUCUGAUACUGGUCAGCUAGAGUCUUGUAGAGGGGGGUAGAAUUCCAUGUGUAGCGGUGAAAUGCGUAGAGAUGUGGAGGAAUACCGGUGGCGAAGGCGGCCCCCUGGACAAAGACUGACGCUCAGGUGCGAAAGCGUGGGGAGCAAACAAG
rnacentral:rRNA from 1 species